GGCUGGUCCAAAGGUAGUUGAGUUAUCUCACUUGAUUGUUCACAGUUACACAUUGAACUCCUUGUUCUAAUACUUUCCCCCCUCCUCACUACUGCACUUGACUAAUCUCAA
rnacentral:Y_RNA from 1 species